CAGCGAGAGGUGCUUGCACCUUUCAAGCGAGUGGCGAACGGGUGAGUAACACGUGGAUAACCUGCCUCAAGGCUGGGGAUAACAUUUGGAAACAGAUGCUAAUACCGAAUAAAACUUAGUAUCGCAUGAUAUCAAGUUAAAAGGCGCUACGGCGUCACCUAGAGAUGGAUCCGCGGUGCAUUAGUUAGUUGGUGGGGUAAAGGCUUACCAAGACGAUGAUGCAUAGCCGAGUUGAGAGACUGAUCGGCCACAUUGGGACUGAGACACGGCCCAAACUCCUACGGGAGGCUGCAGUAGGGAAUCUUCCACAAUGGGCGCAAGCCUGAUGGAGCAACGCCGCGUGUGUGAUGAAGGCUUUCGGGUCGUAAAGCACUGUUGUAUGGGAAGAAAUGCUAAAAUAGGGAAUGAUUUUAGUUUGACGGUACCAUACCAGAAAGGGACGGCUAAAUACGUGCCAGCAGCCGCGGUAAUACGUAUGUCCCGAGCGUUAUCCGGAUUUAUUGGGCGUAAAGCGAGCGCAGACGGUUGAUUAAGUCUGAUGUGAAAGCCCGGAGCUCAACUCCGGAAUGGCAUUGGAAACUGGUUAACUUGAGUGUUGUAGAGGUAAGUGGAACUCCAUGU
rnacentral:rRNA from 1 species